UGGCUUUUUAGGUGAACUAUAGAAUACUCAAGCUAUGCAUCCAACGCGUUGGGAGCUCUCCCAUAUGGUCGACCUGCAGGCGGCCGCGAAUUCACUAGUGAUUAUGGGGUGCAGCAGGCGCGAAACCUCCGCAAUGCGGGCAACCGCGACGGGGGGACCCCCAGUGCCGUGGCAUCGCCACGGCUUUUCCGGAGUGUAAAAAGCUCCGGGAAUAAGGGCUGGGCAAGGCCGGUGGCAGCCGCCGCGGUAAUACCGGCGGCCCGAGUGGUGGCCGCUAUUAUUGGGCCUAAAGCGUCCGUAGCCGGGCCCGUAAGUCCCUGGCGAAAUCCCACGGCUCAACCGUGGGGCUUGCUGGGGAUACUGCGGGCCUUGGGACCGGGAGAGGCCGGGGGUACCCCUGGGGUAGGGGUGAAAUCCUAUAAUCCCAGGGGGACCGCCAGUGGCGAAGGCGCCCGGCUGGAACGGGUCCGACGGUGAGGGACGAAGGCCAGGGGAGCGAACCGGAUUAGAUACCCGGGUAGUCCUGGCUGUAAAGGAUGCGGGCUAGGUGUCGGGCGAGCUUCGAGCUCGCCCGGUGCCGAAGGGAAGCCGUUAAGCCCGCCGCCUGGGGAGUACGGCCGCAAGGCUGAAACUUAAAGGAAUUGGCGGGGGAGCACAAUCGAAUUCCCGCGGCCGCCAUGGCGGCCGGGAGCAUGCGACGUCGGGCCCAAUUCGCCCUAUAGUGAGUCGUAUUACAAUUCACUGGCCGUCGUUUUACAACGUCGUGACUGGGAAAACCCUGGCGUUACCCAACUUAAUCGCCUUGCAGCACAUCCCCCUUUCGCCAGCUGGCGUAAUAGCGAAGAGGCCCGCACCGAUCGCCCUUCCCAACAGUUGCGCAGCCUGAAUGGCGAAUGGACGCGCCCUGUAGCGGCGCAUUAAGCGCGGCGGGUGUGGUGGUUACGCGCAGCGUGACCGCUACACUUGCCAGCGCCCUAGCGCCCGCUCCUUUCGCUUUCUUCCCUUCCUUUCUCGCCACGUUCGCCGGCUUUCCCCGUCAAGCUCUAAAUCGGGGGCUCCCUUUAGGGUUCCGAUUUAGUGCUUUACGGCACCCUCGACCCCAAAAAACCUGAUAGGUGAUGGAUUCACGUAAUGGCAAUCGCCCUGAAUAGACGGAUUUUUCGCCCUUUUGAAACG
rnacentral:rRNA from 1 species